rnacentral:rRNA from 1 species
UUAGAGUUUGAUCCUGGCUCAGGAUGAACGCUAGCGACAGGCUUAACACAUGCAAGUCGAGGGGCAUCAUGAGGUAGCGAUACCUUGAUGGCGACCGGCGCACGGGUGAGUAACGCGUAUGUAACCUGCCCGACACAGGGGAAUAGCCCAUGGAAACGUGGAUUAAUGCCCCAUAUGGCCAUGAGUGCGCAUGUACUUUUGGUGAAAUUUACGGAGGUGUCGGAUGGGCAUGCGUCCUAUUAGGUAGUUGGAGAGGUAACGGCUCCCCAAGCCGAUGAUAGGUAGGGGUUCUGAGAGGAAGGUCCCCCACAUUGGAACUGAGACACGGUCCAAACUCCUACGGGAGGCAGCAGUGAGGAAUAUUGGUCAAUGGACGGAAGUCUGAACCAGCCAAGUCGCGUGAGGGAAGACUGCCCUAUGGGUUGUAAACCUCUUUUAUAAGGGAAGAAUAAGUGCUACGUGUAGUACGAUGCCAGUACCUUAUGAAUAAGCAUCGGCUAACUCCGUGCCAGCAGCCGCGGUAAUACGGAGGAUGCGAGCGUUAUCCGGAUUUAUUGGGUUUAAAGGGUGCGUAGGCGGUAUGUUAAGUUAGUGGUAAAACGGUUGGGCUCAACUCAAUCUGGCCAUUAAAACUGGCAAACUCGAGUUCAGACGGGGUAGGCGGAAUAAGUUAAGUAGCGGUGAAAUGCAUAGAUAUAACUUAGAACACCGAUCGCGAAGGCAGCUUACCAGACUGCGACUGACGCUGAAGCACGAGAGCGUGGGUAUCGAACAGGAUUAGAUACCCUGGUAGUCCACGCCGUAAAC